AAUUCAAAUUGUAUUCAUCUGAUCUUCACCAAACUUGGUCAGCAGUUGCAUCUAGUUGAUAUCUAGGCCAAGUUCGAAUAUGGGUCAUGCCGGGUCAAAAACUAGGUCAUAGGGUCAAUUAGUGCAUUUUCAACGGCGCCACUUUGUCCGGACUCUAAUUCAAAUUGUAUUCAUCCGAUCUUCACCAAACUUGGUCAGUAGUUGCAUCUAGUUGAUAUCUAGGUCAAGUCCGAAUAUGGGUCAUGCUGGGUCAAAAACUAGGUCAAAGGGUCAAUUAGUGCAUUUUACUUUGUCAGGACUCUAAUUCAAAUUGUAUAAAUCUUAUCUUCACCAAACUUGGUCAGUAGUUGCAUCUAGUUGAUAUCUAGGCCAAGUUCGAAUAUGGGUCAUGCCAGGUAAAAAACUAGGUCAUAGGGUCAAUUAGUCCAUUUUCAACAGCGCCACUUUGUCCGGACUCUUAUUCAAAUUGUAUUCAUCCGAUCUUUACCAAACUUGGUCAGUAGUUUCAAGAUAAGUAAUAUCAGUACAGGAAAUACUGCCAUUCUAUACCUAUGUAGGUCUAAACAAUUAUGAUUUAAAUAUUGUGUUUUAGAGAACAAAUGAGACUAAGUGUACACUUAUUGAUAUCAAUGCAUAUAUAUGAAUAUAUCAGUUAUAUAAGU